rnacentral:rRNA from 1 species
GAUGAACGCUGGCGGCGUGCCUAAUACAUGCAAGUCGAGCGAACGGACGAGAAGCUUGCUUCUCUGAUGUUAGCGGCGGACGGGUGAGUAACACGUGGAUAACCUACCUAUAAGACUGGGAUAACUUCGGGAAACCGGAGCUAAUACCGGAUAAUAUUUUGAACCGCAUGGUUCAAAAGUGAAAGACGGUCUUGCUGUCACUUAUAGAUGGAUCCGCGCUGCAUUAGCUAGUUGGUAAGGUAACGGCUUACCAAGGCAACGAUGCAUAGCCGACCUGAGAGGGUGAUCGGCCACACUGGAACUGAGACACGGUCCAGACUCCUACGGGAGGCAGCAGUAGGGAAUCUUCCGCAAUGGGCGAAAGCCUGACGGAGCAACGCCGCGUGAGUGAUGAAGGUCUUCGGAUCGUAAAACUCUGUUAUUAGGGAAGAACAUAUGUGUAAGUAACUGUGCACAUCUUGACGGUACCUAAUCAGAAAGCCACGGCUAACUACGUGCCAGCAGCCGCGGUAAUACGUAGGUGGCAAGCGUUAUCCGGAAUUAUUGGGCGUAAAGCGCGCGUAGGCGGUUUUUUAAGUCUGAUGUGAAAGCCCACGGCUCAACCGUGGAGGGUCAUUGGAAACUGGAAAACUUGAGUGCAGAAGAGGAAAGUGGAAUUCCAUGUGUAGCGGUGAGAUGCGCAGAGAUAUGGAGGAACACCAGUGGCGAAGGCGACUUUCUGGUCUGUAACUGACGCUGAUGUGCGAAAGCGUGGGGAUCAAACAGGAUUAGAUACCCUGGUAGUCCACGCCGUAAACGAUGAGUGCUAAGUGUUAGGGGGUUUCCGCCCCUUAGUGCUGCAGCUAACGCAUUAAGCACUCCGCCUGGGGAGUACGACCGCAAGGUUGAAACUCAAAGGAAUUGACGGGGACCCGCACAAGCGGUGGAGCAUGUGGUUUAAUUCGAAGCAACGCGAAGAACCUUACCAAAUCUUGACAUCCUUUGACAACUCUAGAGAUAGAGCCUUCCCCUUCGGGGGACAAAGUGACAGGUGGUGCAUGGUUGUCGUCAGCUCGUGUCGUGAGAUGUUGGGUUAAGUCCCGCAACGAGCGCAACCCUUAAGCUUAGUUGCCAUCAUUAAGUUGGGCACUCUAAGUUGGCUGCCGGUGACAAACCGGAGGAAGGUGGGGAUGACGUCAAAUCAUCAUGCCCCUUAUGAUUUGGGCUACACACGUGCUACAAUGGACAAUACAAAGGGCAGCGAAACCGCGAGGUCAAGCAAAUCCCAUAAAGUUGUUCUCAGUUCGGAUUGUAGUCUGCAACUCGACUACAUGAAGCUGGAAUCGCUAGUAAUCGUAGAUCAGCAUGCUACGGUGAAUACGUUCCCGGGUCU